UGACCAUCUUUCCCAUCAAAGGGAAGAUACAUGGCCAUACGGACAGCCGGGUCAAAUGCCGA
rnacentral:sRNA from 12 species